GUUUGCUUUGACACCACAUAUACUAAAUUUGGAAUAACACAGAGAAGAUUAGCAUGGCCCUCUGUGCAAGAAUGUCCAGCAAAUUUGUAAAGCAUCCCAUAAUUUU